rnacentral:rRNA from 1 species
UGGGGAAUAUUGGACAAUGGGGGAAACCCUGAUCCAGCAAUGCCGCGUGAGUGAAGAAGGCCUUAGGGUUGUAAAGCUCUUUCGCCCGCGAAGAUAAUGACGGUAGCGGGAGAAGAAGCCCCGGCUAACUCCGUGCCAGCAGCCGCGGUAAUACGGAGGGGGCUAGCGUUGUUCGGAAUUACUGGGCGUAAAGCGUACGUAGGCGGAUGCGCGAGUUGGGGGUGAAAUCCCGGGGCUUAACCUCGGAAUUGCCCUCAAAACUGCACGUCUUGAGACCGAGAGAGNUAAGGGGAAUUCCUAGUGUAGAGGUGAAAUUCGUAGAUAUUAGGAAGAACACCAGUGGCGAAGGCGCCUUACUGGCUCGGUACUGACGCUGAGGUACGAAAGCGUGGGGAGCAAACA